CAACCAUCCUGAUACCCUGAUCUUUUAUGAAAUUAUAAGUUCGGCAAAAAUAAUAAAAAAGAGGGACAGGUGUAGGUGCAUUAAAGGGAUACAUCACUAACUCAACAGUCCAGUACAGUUUCCCUCAGCAACUUUGCAAUGUCUGCACAAAGGAUACGUUGAUCAGCUGCCAGAAGAUCUCGCCGUUGGAGAACACUGUUGAUUUUAUACUCUAAAAAUGUAAGUAUUACUACUUAAAAAUUAAGAUUAGCCCAUAAUGAAUUGCAUCUUUUGCCCACCCCAACACUUACACACAAUAAUAACGAUAAAUGCCAACCAAUAAUUAUAUUA